AAGAUUACCACCCACAACAUGUUAAGCUACCUGCAGGUUGGACAGCAUGUUCCGGGUUGUGAAAAUUAUCACUCAUGAUGGGGUGGGCUCUUAGUGAUUCUGUCUUCAAGUCAUUCUGCUCCUUGCAGAAGCCUAUCACCCAUAUUCUGUAAGUAUCCCCAAUAAAAUGGCUCUCCAAAUUGGGCUUGGGUGAUUUCUGCUGUUGGCUGCCUAUCUGGGGUGAGUAGGCAUCGCUAGGAGAGCUGCUGGGUCCCCCACACAUCUGUGUGCUAUGUCAGAUAGCAGGAACUGUCUCAGGAGACUCUGCCAAAGCCACAGCCUUAUACAGCAGUUCUGUGAAGUUGUCUUCCUGGGAACUGCCUGCUCAGUCUUGGACCGAAGCCACCCAUGCUACUGAUCCCUAAAGCUGAGCAUUAUUGUUUCAAAACAAUUUACGUAAUCCUCCUCAUUUCUCCCUCAGACACCACUCGUCUUUCUGAAUACAUCCAUAAUUUACCACGGUGCUCAUCUUCUGAGGACAGGAUGCAUGCCGAAUUAAAUUCAUUACCUUCGCAGAUCCGUUUGUGUGGGGUCUACCAAGCUUGUUGAAGGGGACGGAAGAGGGACAUGGCCAAAUAGGCCUAAGAAGGACCCCUUUGUGGCAUCUUGGAGAGGCAAGCAACAGAGACAAGCGCAGCUGGAAGAGGAAGAAGAUGAAGGUGAUUUGGGAGAGUUCACAGUUCUGCUUGCCCACACGCUGGUACCACAGCCCCGUGGCAAGUAAACAGCAAUGCAUGAGAGAGCUGGUGAUACAGAGAAAUACUCACUACAGGCAUGAGGGGAGAAGUCAUACGGAUGGGAAGAUAAAGAUGGAGGCAAUGAAUCUGCACGCUAAGAAGGACACCCAGAUCACCAGAACUUAAGGGAGGCCUGGAGCAGGUGCCCACAUACACUUCAGUCCUGGUCCUCAGCCUCUAGAGCCGGAAGCACUUCUCUUUUUCCUGCCACCCCUAUCACAAGUUGUUUGUUUCUUCACUCAGUCCUGGAAAAUUAAAACAAUGCUAGAAGACGUUAUGGAACCA